rnacentral:rRNA from 1 species
AAUCAACGCUGGCGGCGUGCCUCAGACAUGCAAGUCGAACGAUUAAGACUCCCUUCGGGGAGUGCAUAAAGUGGCGCACGGGCGAGUAACACGUAGGUAAUGUACCUUUGGGUGGGGAAUAACUUAGGGAAACUUAAGCUAAUACCGCAUAAUGCAGCGGCCCGACAUCGAGACAGUUGUUAAAGAUUUAUCGCCUAAAGAGCAGCCUGCGGCAGACUAGCUAGUUGGUAAGGUAAUGGCUUACCAAGGCUACGAUCUGUAACCGACCUGAGAGGGUGGUCGGUCACACUGACACUGAAUAACGGGUCAGACUCCUACGGGAGGCAGCAGUCGGGAAUUUUGGGCAAUGGGCGCAAGCCUGACCCAGCAACGCCGCGUGAAGGAUGAAGUAUUUCGGUAUGUAAACUUCGUAAGAAUAGGAAGAAUAAAUGACGGUACUAUUUGUAAGGUCCGGCUAACUACGUGCCAGCAGCCGCAGUAAGAC